rnacentral:rRNA from 1 species
GGGGAAUUUUCCGCAAUGGGGGAAACCCUGACGCAGCGACGCCGCGUGAGUGAUGAAGGUCUUAGGAUUGUAAAGCUCUGCCCCUGGUGAACAAAAUGAGGGUAACCAGGAAGAAAGAACCGGCUAACUUCGUGCCAGCAGCCGCGGUGAGACGAGGGGUUCAAGCGUUGUCCGGAAUUAUAGGGCGUAAAGCGGAUGCAGGCGGCCUCAUAAGUCAGGAGUGAAAGCCUUCGGCCCAACCGGAGAAGCGCUUUUGAUACUGUGAGGCUUGAGCAUGGAAGAGGGCGAGAGAAUUCCUGGUGUAGUGGUGAAAUACGUAGAUAUCAGGAGGAAUACCGGAGGCGAAGGCGCUCGCCUGGUCCAUUACUGACGCUGAAAUCCGAAAGCGCGGGGAGCAAACAGGAUUAGAGACCCUGGUAGUCCGCGCCGUAAACGAUGGACGCUUGGCGUUGGGGGAAUUUACCCCCUCAGCGCCGGAGCUAACGCGUUAAGUGCCCCGCCUGGGGAGUACGGCCGCAAGGCUAAAACUCAAAGGAAUUGACGGGGGCCCGCACAAGCGGCGGAGCAUGUUGCUUAAUUCGAGGCAACGCGAAGAACCUUACCUGGGCUUGACAUGCUGGGAAAAGCCAUAGAGAUAUGGUGUCCAUUUAUGGGCCCUGCACAGGUGGUGCAUGGCUGUCGUCAGCUCGUGUCGUGAGAUGUUGGGUUAAGUCCCGCAACGAGCGCAACCCUCGUCCUAUGUUGCCAGCGGGUAAUGCCGGGGACUCGUAGGAGACUGCCGGGGUCAACUCGGAGGAAGGUGGGGAUGACGUCAAGUCAUCAUGCCCCUUACGCCCAGGGCUGCAAACAUGCUACAAUGGCCGGUACAACGGGCUGCGACAUCGCGAGAUGAAGCGAAUCCCUUAAAGCCGGUCUCAGUUCGGAUUGGAGUCUGCAACUCGACUCCAUGAAGCCGGAGUCGCUAGUAAUCCCGGAUCAGCAACGCCGGGGUGAAUACUGUUCCCGGGCCUUGUACACACCGCCCGU